rnacentral:rRNA from 1 species
GGGAUGGGGGCUCCAAUGGUGCACCAGUUGUCACGCCAGUGGCAUAGCUGGGUAGCCAAGAGCCUUCUGGAUAAGCGCUGAAGGCAUCUAAGCGCGAAGCCAUCCUCAAGAUUAGAUAUCCCAUCCAGUUAAUGGAGUAAGGCCCCAUGUAGACCACAUGGUUGAUAGGCCGGGAGUGCAAGCGCGGCGACGCGCUGAGCUGACCGGUACUAAUAGGCCGAGGGCUUGACCUAA